rnacentral:lncRNA from 1 species
UGAUAAUGUGAGAAAAAAGAAUGUAUAAAUGUAUGCGUAACUGGCUCACCAUGCUGUACAGUAGAAAAUUGACAGAACACUGUAAACCAGCUAUAAUGGAAAAAUAUAAAAAUCAUUUUAUAUAUAUAUAUAUAUAAAGUUUAUUGAAGCAUAGUUGAUUUACAGUGUUGUGAUAAUUUCUGCUGAGUGAUUCAGUUAUAGAUACAUCCAUUCUUUUUCAGAUUCUUUCCCAUGUAGAUUAUCACAGAAUAUUGGGUAGAGGCUCCUGUGCUAUACAGCAUGUCUCUGAUCUUUUAUCUCAAUGGAAAGAAUUCUGUAGUAGCCUGGGAGAGUCAGUGAAAGUGGGACUGUAACUUCUCAAUGGAUAUGCCGACAAGAAGGGGAGACCAAGCAGUUGUGUCUUGCUAAGAUAAGCCUUCUCCAGUGGUCAGUUUUGAUCCUAGCCAUGGCAAACCAUCACUGCCAUCAUAGACACGGUGCAAAUGAAUUGAAACUCGUGAAGUUGUGCUCCACUAAGAAGAAACAGAGUAUAGAACCUUCCCUUUCAUUCUAGGUAACUAAUGAAUCCACUGUGCUCACUCAUCUAAGUACUUAGCAGGGUAUACGACCCUAGAUGCAGAGAGAAUGUUGUGCACAGUAUCUUCCCCAUUGGGAGUCUUAUUUUUUCUGACACAAACAGAAAUUUAUCCAUAGGGUCCUAUACUACUUUGUUUAUACCUUUCUUACUGAAGUAUAACAAACACGUUGAAAAGUACACUAAUCCUCAAUGCAUACUCCCCUGAAUUUCCAUGAACUGUGCACAUCCAUGCAGUCAGCACUUUGAUAAAACAUAGGGUACUGCCAGCACCCCAAAGCUCUCAGUUCCCCUCACAGUCUCUGACCCCCACCAAAUAUCCUGGUUUCUAACAUCAGAUUUUAGUUUUGUCUGUUUGGGAAGUGUUAUAUAAACAGAAUCAUACAGUGUGUGUUCUCUGCUUCUGCCAUCUUUCCCUCAUUAUUAUAUUUGGCUUUUUUUUUUUAAUUAUUAAAGUAUAGUUAGUUUACAGUAUUGUGUCAGUUUCCACUGUACAGCAAAGUAACCCGGCCAUGCACACAUACACCCACACACAUUCUUUUUGUCACAUUAUUUUCCACCGUGGUCUACAGGAGAUUAGAUAUAGUUCCCUGUGCCAUACAGCAGGACCUUGUUGCUUAUCCUUUCUAAAUGCAUCUACUAUCCCAAACUCCCAGUCCAUCCCAGUCCCUCCCUCCUCCCUCUUGGCAACAACAAAUCUGUUUUCUAUGUCUGUGGGUCUCUUUCUGUUCUGUUCGUUUGUGCCACAUUUUAGGUGUGUGAAAUUCAUUCAUGCUGUUGCCUAUAGCAGUAGUUUGUUGAGAGCAUAUAUACAGGUUUCUCUUAGGGGUAUGCCUUGAAAUGGAAUUGAUAGGCCAUAGGGUUCAGCCUUAGUAGCUACUGACCCCAAACCAGUCUUCCAAAGACAAGUGUUAGCAGAUCUUUGGAGCAACUAGGAAUUUCACAUGCUGCUGCUAGGAGGUAAACUAGUUGUCCCAUGCAUGUGCUAACACCUGUCUUUUCAUUUUAGCUACUCAAGUGACUGUGCAAGGGUGUUGCAUUGGGAUGUUAACCUAUCUUUCUCUGAUGAGUAAGGAAGUGGAGCUCUUUUUGAUACCUGUAUUGGUCUUCCAGAAUCCUCUUUUUUGAAGUAUCUAGCUGUAUCUUUUACUCAUUCCUCCUCCAUUGGGUUAGCUCUAUUUUCCUACUUUUGGGGAAUUUUCCAUGUACUCUUGUUAGAAAAAUACACUGCAAGUAUCAUUUCUCACUUUGUCUCUUGCCUUUUAAUGACACAUUUAAUGGUGUCUUUUGAGGAACAGUUUUCUUAAUUUUAAUGUAAUCUGAUUUAAUAUUUUUUCUUUAUAGUGAGUACUGUUAUAUCCAACAUAAAAAUUAUUUUACUAGCCCAAGAUUGUGUUACAUUCGUUCAUGUUUAGUUUUUAGUUUGUCCAGGAUUGAUUUUUAUCUAUCAUGUAAGAUAAGGGUCAGAUUUAUUUUUUUCCUCAUGUAUAUCCAAUUGACCUAUUAAUUGAAAAGACUAUUCUUUAUACUAAAGUUUCAUCUUUGUCACAGAUAGUUCUGUUCCUAUACCCUUAUUUCAGUCCAUUGACAGCCCAGUCUAUUUGUAUGUGUCUGUGCCAGUGUAUUAAUAACUGUAGCUUUAUUAUAAACAAUGAUACCUAUCACAGAUUGCUCUUGGAAUAUAGUGAAACAGUUAAAAUGCUUAGCAUAAGACCUGGCAGGUUGGGCUUUUGGCUCAGUUAAUGUAAGCUAUUAGAUAUAAGAGCCAAAGGUCAUUUGACAUCUUAUAGUCCUAGGCCCCCUUGCCCUCCUGUCAGCCAUACUAAUUUCUCUAAAACAUUUCUGAUGUUUCACGGUCAGCCAAGAAAUGAAAUGCUCUUAGGUCAUGAAUAUUUUGCAUAUACCCAUUCUGAGAUUAGGUCUACUGAGAGAAAGAAAACAGAAAACCACUACAGAGUGCUAUAAUGUACUUUUCUUUGUCCUUCACAUUUGUGAAGGAUAGGAUAGGGAAUUUUUUAAAAUGUAUUUUGUUAAUUUUUUUGGCUGUGUCCAUGACAUGUGAAAUUUCUCAGGUCAGGAAUGGAACCCACACCACAACAGUGACCCAAGCCACAGCAGUUACAAGGUUGGAUCUCUAACCUGCUGUGCCACCAGGAAACUCCCAGAGCAAAUUGUUUUUAAUGUGACUUCCAUCUCCUUAGGUCUCAGUGAAUCCCUGUCUACUCUGGUCCUAUUUUCUUCAGUACAGGACCAAGACUUUUUGGCUUCUAAUUUCUUCCCUAUUGAAUGACAGGUCUACAAAUUCCCAUCAAGAGAAGAACCUGAAGGUCCCCUCUGACUCACUUCUCUAGGUACCUAACUAGUCCUGGUAUCAAAUGCCUUCAUCCUUCAAUUUUACUCACUUGACCAGUAUACAUGUAUAAGAUUAAUGAGUAAAGCAUAUCUGGAGUUUAGCACAUCAGAGUUAAAUUAUUUCUUAAUUGUUACCAAUUUCAGAUUUAUCAUAAGUUCUGGUCUAUAAUGGGUGUGGGGUGUGGAGGGGGACAAUAUAUAUAUGCAAUAUAUAUCCUUAUGUAUAUAACUGCUGAUAAAUUGACUUCUAUCAUUUUGGAAUAAACUGUAAUGAUGUCUUAAAAUAACUCACUUUCCCUGUUCAACCUCAUUCAGUCUGGUCUACUCAUUUUCUGAGCUUUGCUGGGUCUGAUGAGGUAUAGCAAAGAAAAAAAGCCAAACAUCACCACCCUCACUCCUUGCCAAAAUUAAAACAUAAAAAAAUUAAUUGCUUUCUUCCAAAGUUGAUGCCUAUAUUAUACACAUAUAUAAGAAGGAUUAUACAGACUGUGUAGAGAAUGCCUUUAAUGAAAAGAAAAAUAAGCCAAGUUAAAUUUCCUUUAGGAGACCACUCUCUUUGUACAGCAAACACAGGGUCUAUUAUAAGCUUAACUCAUUUUUGCCUUAGUUGUAAAUGAACUUGACUAACUGGGCUUUAGAUACUAUUCAACAUUACUGCAGAAUAACUAAGAUUUGGUUGUGCAAAUUUAGGUAAGGUAGGUGGUGGCAAAUUAACCCUGCUAAUGACUAGCCUGUGCUGAGGCUAAGCAAGUAAUCAGAUGU